AAAGGAUAACGGGGCUACAGCAGAAGCGUUCACAUUGCAGCCCCUGUCAGAUUCUGGUGAAUCUGCGAAUUCUGCU
rnacentral:ribozyme from 1 species